rnacentral:rRNA from 1 species
AGUCGAACGAUGAAGCCCUUCGGGGUGGAUUAGUGGCGAACGGGUGAGUAACACGUGGGCAAUCUGCCCUUCACUCUGGGACAAGCCCUGGAAACGGGGUCUAAUACCGGAUAACACUUACCUCCUCCUGGGGGUUGGUUAAAAGCUCCGGCGGUGAAGGAUGAGCCCGCGGCCUAUCAGCUUGUUGGUGGGGUAAUGGCCUACCAAGGCGACGACGGGUAGCCGGCCUGAGAGGGCGACCGGCCACACUGGGACUGAGACACGGCCCAGACUCCUACGGGAGGCAGCAGUGGGGAAUAUUGCACAAUGGGCGAAAGCCUGAUGCAGCGACGCCGCGUGAGGGAUGACGGCCUUCGGGUUGUAAACCUCUUUCAGCAGGGAAGAAGCGCAAGUGACGGUACCUGCAGAAGAAGCACCGGCUAACUACGUGCCAGCAGCCGCGGUAAUACGUAGGGUGCGAGCGUUGUCCGGAAUUAUUGGGCGUAAAGAGCUCGUAGGCGGUCUGUCACGUCGGAUGUGAAAGCCCGGGGCUUAACCCCGGGUCUGCAUUCGAUACGGGCAGACUAGAGUGUGGUAGGGGAGAUCGGAAUUCCUGGUGUAGCGGUGAAAUGCGCAGAUAUCAGGAGGAACACCGGUGGCGAAGGCGGAUCUCUGGGCCAUUACUGACGCUGAGGAGCGAAAGCGUGNNGAGCGAACAGGAUUAGAUACCCUGGUAGUCCACGCCGUAAACGUUGGGAACUAGGUGUUGGCGACAUUCCACGUCGUCGGUGCCGCAGCUAACGCAUUAAGUUCCCCGCCUGGGGAGUACGGCNCGCAAGGCUAAAACUCAAGAAAA